GCACAACGUGCAGCUUUGUUACAUAUGUAUACAUGUCCCAUGUUGGUGUGCUGCAACCUUUAACUUUGAUUGAGGCACUAUUCGCAAUAGCAAAGACUUGGAAAACAGAGGUUUUAAACAGAGGCACAACAAUCAAAUAUGCAUUUAGGAAGAUAACUUGACUACUGGUGGAGAAAACACUGGAAGGAAAAAGGGAAGAAGAGCAGUUUAGAAUUCUCUUAAGAUAAUAAGGCAUCUAUACCCUCUGUUUGUUUCUUAGGGAUCAUUAAUUCUCUCAAGACUCAAAAGGCUAAUAAUGAUUGCUGUGGAAAAAUACUACUUUCCCAAAAGUGCCUAUGGAUUUACAGAUCAUCCUGAAGACAGAAGCAGAAAUAUGUGGGCUACAAUAUGAACAUGAUUAUAAGCUUCCUGAUGCGUCCCCAGAAGCCGAGCAGAUGCUAGCCCCAAGAUUCCUGUAAAGCCUGCAGAACCAUGAGCCAAUUAAACCUCUUUUCUUUAUAAAUUACC
rnacentral:lncRNA from 1 species